CAGGUGGUUCUUUAAGUCUGAUGUGAAAGCCCCCGGCUCAACCGGGGAGGGUCAUUGGAAACUGGGGAACUUGAGUGCAGAAGAGGAUAGUGGAAUUCCAAGUGUAGCGGUGAAAUGCGUAGAGAUUUGGAGGAACACCAGUGGCGAAGGCGACUGCCUGGUCUGUAACUGACACUGAGGCGCGAAAGCGUGGGGAGCAAACAGGAUUAGAUACCCUGGUAGUCCACGCCGUAAACGAUGAGUGCUAAGUGUUGGGGGGGUUUCCCNCCCCUCAGUGCUGCAGCUANCGCAUUAAGCACUCCGCCUGGGGGAGUACGGUCNCCAGACUGAAACUCAAGGAAUUGACGGGGNCCCCACANGCGGU
rnacentral:rRNA from 1 species